AUUGAACGCUGGCGGCAGGCCUAACACAUGCAAGUCGAGCGGAUGAAGGGAGCUUGCUCCUGGAUUCAGCGGCGGACGGGUGAGUAAUGCCUAGGAAUCUGCCUGGUAGUGGGGGAUAACGUCCUGAAACGGGCGCUAAUACCGCAUACGUCCUGAGGGAGAAAGUGGGGGAUCUUCGGACCUCACGCUAUCAGAUGAGCCUAGGUCGGAUUAGCUAGUUGGUGGGGUAAAGGCCUACCAAGGCGACGAUCCGUAACUGGUCUGAGAGGAUGAUCAGUCACACUGGAACUGAGACACGGUCCAGACUCCUACGGGAGGCAGCAGUGGGGAAUAUUGGACAAUGGGCGAAAGCCUGAUCCAGCCAUGCCGCGUGUGUGAAGAAGGUCUUCGGAUUGUAAAGCACUUUAAGUUGGGAGGAAGGGCAGUAAGUUAAUACCUUGCUGUUUUGACGUUACCAACAGAAUAAGCACCGGCUAACUUCGUG
rnacentral:rRNA from 1 species